CUACUCUUGACAUCCAGAGAAUUCGCUAGAGAUAGCUUAGUGCCUUCGGGAACUCUGAGACAGGUGCUGCAUGGCUGUCGUCAGCUCGUGUUGUGAAAUGUUGGGUUAAGUCCCGCAACGAGCGCAACCCUUAUCCUUGUUUGCCAGCACGUAAUGGUGGGAACUCCAGGGAGACUGCCGGUGAUAAACCGGAGGAAGGUGGGGACGACGUCAAGUCAUCAUGGCCCUUACGAGUAGGGCUACACACGUGCUACAAUGGCGUAUACAGAGGGCUGCAAGCUAGCGAUAGUGAGCGAAUCCCACAAAGUACGUCGUAGUCCGGAUUGGAGUCUGCAACUCGACUCCAUGAAGUCGGAAUCGCUAGUAAUCGUGAAUCAGAAUGUCACGGUGAAUACGUUCC
rnacentral:rRNA from 1 species